rnacentral:lncRNA from 1 species
AUGCCUGGGAAUCCCAUUCCCAUCGUCCCAUCCCCGUUCCCAUUAUCCCAUUCCCAUGCCAUCCCCAUCUCCAUUCCUGUUAUCCCAAUUCCAUUCCGUUUAUCCCAUUCUCAUCCCAUUCCCAUUUCAUUCCCAUUAUCCCAUUCCCCAUUCCCAUUAUUCCAAUCCCAUUCCCGUCCCCAUUCCCAUCCCUAUUCUUGGGAAUCCCAUCCCCAUUCCCAUUAUACCAUUCCCAUAAUCCCAUUCCCGUUUUCCCAUCCCCAUUAUCCCAUCCCCAAUCUCAUUAUCCCAUUCUCAUUUUCCCAUUCCCCAUUCCCAUUAUCCCACCCCCAUUAUCCCAUCCCCAUUCCCGUUAUCCCCAUUAUCCCGUUAUCCCAUUCCCCUCUACGCCGUUGUUACCCCGUCGUUACCCCGUUGUUAUCCCGUUGUUAUCCCAUUGUUAUCCCGUUGUUAUCCCGUUGUUAUCCCAUUGUUACCCCAUUGUUACCCCAUUGUUUCCCCGUUGUUAUCCCAUCAUUACCCCGUUGUUACCCCGUUGUUACCCCGUUGUUACCCCAUUGUUAUCCCGUUGUUACCCCAUCAUUAUCCCGUUGUUAUCCCAUUGUUACCCCGUUGUUAUCCUGUUGUUACCCCAUUGUUACCCCGUUGUUACCCCAUUGUUUCCCCAUUGUUUCCCCGUUGUUACCCCAUUGUUUCCCCAUUGUUACCCCGCUGUUACCCCACUGUUACCACGUUGUUAUCCAGUUGUUAUCCCGUUGUUACCCCGUUGUUUCCCCGUUGUUAUCCCAUUGUUAUCCCGUUGUUAUCCCGUCAUUACCCUGCUGUUACCCUGUUGUUAUCCCGUUGUUACCCUGUUGUUACCCCAUUGUUAUCCUAUCGUUAUCCCAUCGUUACCCCAUCGUUAUCCCAUCGUUAUCCCGUUGUUACCCCGUUGUUACCCCGUUGUUAUCCCAUUGUUACCCCGUUGUUACCCCGUUGUUUCCCUGUUGUUUCCCCGUUGUUACCCCGUUGUUUUCCCAUCGUUAUCCCAUCGUUAUCCCAUAUUUAUCCCGCUGUUUCCCGCACAGGCUCGGAUGA